AUGCUUACUUUGGCAGCACAUAUGCUGAAAUUUGAACGAUACAGAGAUUAGCACAGCCCCUGAGCAAGGAUGACAUGCAAGUUAGUGAAGGAGAUAUUACAUCC